rnacentral:ncRNA from 25 species
GGUUAUCUCAACUUCUGGCAACAUGGAAUUAACCAUGAGGAAGUUAGAUUAAGAAAAUCGUCCGCCUGGGUUUUCAAC